AGGUCAAGCGAAGAAGAGCGCAGGGUGGAUGCCUUGGCACUAAGAGCCGAUGAAAGACGUGAUAAGCUGCGAAAAGUCACGGGGAGGAGCAAAUAUCCUUUGAUCCGUGAAU
rnacentral:rRNA from 1 species